rnacentral:lncRNA from 1 species
UCUCUUUCUCUCGUACAUCUCCCUUCUGCGUCUUUCGUACUACCUUUUCUCUCUCCGAUCAAUAUUAAUGCGAGCUUACGAAUUUCCCUAGAAACUAAGAGAGAGAGAGAGAGAGAGAGAGAGAGACCCCUUUUUCUGGCAUUUAGAAGAAAAAUAAAAUGUACGCGCGUAAGAGAGUAAUAACCAUCUUCGUUUAUGGUACUUGUGCAGAGCGAAUAAGAUAGAGAGAUAUAUGGAGAGAGAGGAAGAAAUGUUGCCGCGCUUAAAAGUACAAGAGGGAGAGAGACAAAGGAACGAAUGGAAGAAGAGCGAGAGAAAACAACGCAAGAUUAUCCAGCAACAAGAUAUCCUCGAAUCCCUGUAAAUUCAAGAAAUUCAAAUACGAAAUGUAGCUGUAAUUUAUUUCCAAAAAAUAUUCAUUCCUUGAGCGUAAAAUGGUACCAUAGCGUGAGCAGCAUCUCCUACCAAAAUGGCCGUUUUACCAACGUGAUAUGGCGUUUUUAAUUUGUCGAAAGUACUGAAAGGUGCGAAAAGAUUAGCAGUAAAACUGUGAUCCUUGUUUGGUAAUGCUAUCAUCAUAAACUCGUCUCUUGGCCAAAUGUGAAGAUGGUUUUCCACUCAUUGCAAACUUUAAAACAAGUCAUUUACAUGUUUAGAUUUUAUUGUAGACACAUAAUAAAAGAAUUUAUUCGAACUUAAA